UCUAUUCUCAGCACCACUGGAAUAUUCAUGAAGGAUGAUCUCUCUUCAGUCUUCAGUCAGUAUCUUAAUUGGGAAGAAAGUCAAAACACACAAAUACACACACUUAUAGAUAUAGUGAGAGAAAGCGGAGAAUAAAGAGAGAGAAAAUGUGCGGGUUGCCUUGUGAUGUUGAGACUUUGAUGUCAUAAGUUACAUGCUCGUGAAUGGAGGAGGUGAAAAAUCAGGCAUUCAACAUGUACAUAGAGGAGUGCUUUUCACUCUGCCUGGCCUUCUCCGGCACCAAGAAGCUUUUUUGGUGGAGAAGAUUUUCUUGGCGAUGAUAACAGACAUACACUUACCAGCGAGGAAGACGUCAAAGGAUCCAAACAAGCACUAUUGUUCCAGUCAUGCAUAGAAACAUUUAUUGUGGACGUCUUCAUUUCAGAGGGCUUCGUCUCUGCUUCAUUCAUCCAGAGGGCGUCAUGCAAGCCGGUUGUGGCUGCUGGUACUAACUCCAAAGAUUUCAUGGCCGCACUCAAAAUCAUGAUCAGAUAUACCUGCGUGGUUGGCCAUACGGCUGGAGAAGCCUAUGCUUGCACAGCUUCUUACACUCCUAGGGGAAGGGACAAGCUUGACGCGGAGAUUAGAGCUGUCGUUCAGUCCCUUAUAGACAAUGGAAUUGAUGUCUAAUUGAUCUUGAUCGACCAGUUUGUGAGUCUUCAUUCGUUUAGCGACGCCAACAUACAUGCAUUUUUUUAUAUUUUAUCGCGCUUGUCAAUUAUAUCUUAGUAUAAUAAAAAGCAGUACUAAAAAAGACGUGUGAUUAAUUAUUUCAAUAAUAUGGGUGAUUUUGUAAUUUAAUAACAAUG